rnacentral:rRNA from 1 species
UACGUAGGGGGCAAGCGUUGUCCGGAUUUAUUGGGCGUAAAGAGCGUGUAGGCGGCCAGACAGGUCCGUUGUGAAAACUCGAGGCUCAACCUCGAGACGCCGAUGGAAACCGUCUGGCUAGAGUCCGGAAGAGGAGAGUGGAAUUCCUGGUGUAGCGGUGAAAUGCGCAGAUACCAGGAAGAACACCCGUGGCUAAGGCGGCUCUCUAGUACGGUACUGACGCUGAGACGCGAAAGCGUGGGGAGCGAACAGG